rnacentral:rRNA from 1 species
GUAUUAAUAAAGAAAUUUAGCGGAUUUGGCGGCAAGAUAGCCCAUUUAGAGGAACCUGCCCUGUAAACGAUGAGCCACGAAAGGCCCUACUUUAUUUUGUAAUCAGUUUGUAUACCGCUGUUGUCAGUCAGUUUUAAUAGAAAACUUUCCAUAAUGAUAAUAAUCAUUGACUUCAAGUAAAGGUGCAGCUUAUAAUAAAGUUAGAGGUGGGUUACAAUUUAAAGAAAAAAAACGAAUAAUAAUAUUAAAAAUUAUUUGAAGGUGGAUUUAAUUGUAAAGUUUUAGCAAACUUGACGAGAGCACUAACUUGUG